rnacentral:misc_RNA from 1 species
GAAAUGCGAUAAGUAAUGCGAAUUGCAGAAUUCCAGUGAGUCAUCGAAUCUUUGAACGCACAUUGCGCCCUUUGGUAUUCCGAAGGGCAUGCCUGUUCGAGCGUCAUUAUCACCCCCUCAAGCCCCUGGCUUGGUGUUGGACGGCUUGGUGGACGCACCGUGCGGGGCGUCCACCCCUCCCAAAGACAAUGACGGCGGCCUCGUUGGACCCCCGGUACACUGAGUUCUUCACGGGACACGUAUCGGACACAUGGGUUUGCGGGACACGGUCUGCCUCCCCUCAGGGGAGAAUCUUUCUAAGGUUGACCUCGGAUCAGGUAGGGAUACCCGCUGAACUUAA